CGGUGGUUCUGGCCUUCAUGGCCACCAAACCAGGAUCCAGGAUGAGGAAAUGGGUGGGUGUCGGGGACUGGGCAAAAGAGGAGAAGCGGUGGAGACCGCCUGCCCAUCCUGACUGUUCCAGGGUGAAAGGAAGAGGAAACAGUAUAGCUUUACAACAGGGGUUUGUGGGAGGUCACAGCUCAGAGGCAGAUGAGGGGAAAAGUUGGGAAUUAAUGAGAGAGCCAGAGCAGCAGCUGGCUGACAUGUUGUCACUAGAAAGCAUCCCAGACUCUCCAUCUCCCACAACCUGACGAUCUUUAAAAGUAGGGGAGCAAAGAGCUCAAAGACAGAGGGCACGUAGAAGCACCUGUAGAGGAGGUGAUGAUGAUGACCAAUGAGGAAGUGGGAGAGACGGGGGGUGGAGAUUCACUCGGGACAAUGCCAUUAUCCAAGAGGAUGGGUUCCAUAGCCUCUCUCUGUAAAGUUUGAAAUAAAAAAGACUGUAAGAAACUUUUCCUUGUCUUUAUACUUCCCUGGGCAACCAGCCAGGAGCUGCUGACAGCAUCCAGACAGUGGGGAAAUACCUCACAAGCUCUGUUCUUCCUGGUUGCUGCUCAGUUCAAACCAGUAUUUGUGCUGUCUGGCUGUGCACCGUUCCUCCCAAACAUGUUCUCUUUUGGGCAGCGGGGAAGGCGUGACUUGGGUUCAGGUUUGGGCCCCGGGUUCUGGCACAGCUGUGGGUGGUUUGGGUUGGGGGGGUGAGUGGGCAACCACUGAAAAGAAGCUCAACAAUUUUGGGGCUCAACAAAUGUCAGGAUUUUUACUUCUUGAAAUGCGGCAACCCUAGGUUAUAUAUCUGCCAGUUGCAACCCAACUUCUGAUUAAAGAAAAAAUGAUAAUUAAAAGGCUGAAAGCCAAACAAAAAACAUGUGGAGACCCACCUUUCCCUACUGGAUUUCCCUGUAUGAGUUUCCAGCGCAUUUAAUUGAAUUGCUUCUUUGACGCUUUUAGAUCCAGCCUAAGAGCCCUCAGCUGGGGGAAGCAUGCUUGCAUGCGACACUCACAAUUACCAGCGCACCGUUCAAUAACAAAUACAUAUGAUUAUUUUGCUGUUACUGUUUUCCCUUACAGAGCACAAUACUCUAAGGAGAUCACUUUGGAACAAGUAAUUAUUUCGAAAUGUGGGUUUCAUCAUAUUGCCAAAUCCCACAUACAUUAUAUCAUAAACACAAGGUGUAUAUAAAAUAAACCCUGUGUCAUUUAGAGCCCCAGUGAGAAAUUCUGAACACAAAGGAUUUCAUGGAACAGAUCUUUGGCACAUCCCCUUUAUUAAAAUAAUCCAGUGCCAUUAAACCUAAUGCAAUUCAUGGUGGAUGAGAGAGAAAUCUGUCUUUCUGCAUAACUGUUGGUCAAGAUGGUAGGAACAUUUCUGCUGAUGAUUCUUCUCUUCCUGUGGCUGCAGAUGCCUCCAACUGAGUGCAAGGAAGACUCUGAGACAUGCACCAUGACGGAUCCAUUCCAGCUUCCAUACCAGUAUUAUCAGAGAGGGGACCUAAUCAUUGGAGGAAUUGUUAAUACUUUUGGCUAUUUUUCUGAAGAUAUAGAUUUCCAGGACCACCCAAACACAAAGUUCACAGAUGAACUUUAGUAAGGAAAUCACUCUCUCCUUCAUAGUGUACAUUUUUCUAUGCUACAACUACACUACACAAACCAUGGCA